UACGGGGGGGGCAAGCGUUGUUCGGAAUUACUGGGCGUAAAGGGCUCGUAGGCGGCCAACUCAGUCGGACGUGAAAUCCCUCGGCUUAACCGGGGAACUGCGUCCGAUACUGGAUGGCUUGAGUUUGGGAGAGGGAUGCGGAAUUCCAGGUGUAGCGGUGAAAUGCGUAGAUAUCUGGAGGAACACCGGUGGCGAAGGCGGCAUCCUGGACCAACACUGACGCUGAGGAGCGAAAGCCAGGGGAGCAAACGGG
rnacentral:rRNA from 1 species